AUGGCCACCUUUGCCCUCGACCCCACGCCUUUCGUCCCGCCGGGUUUCGAGAUCAUCGACAGUGGUCUGCGGCGUCAUCCACGCACCUUCUACUCUCCAGCAAUGGCUCCUGAUCGUCAGCAUGAAGAAUACGCCAUUGCCAUCGUCGAGCCUGCUCCCCUGCCUGAAGAAGUUCCCAUCUUCAGAAAUAUGGAGGCUCCACAUGAUGAUCUGCAUGAGCAGCAAGAGCUUGUGGAUGAAAAUCAUGUUGAGGCGAACCAGUCGCAGGAAUCUAUCAUUCUGCAAGUUUCGGAUGAUUCUGUUAAUGCUCAACCAGUUGAUGAUAUGGCGAUCUUGCAGCAACCAGCGGCCCCUAUGCAGCCUCCUCUUCAUAUUGGGCAAGUUCUCACUGUAUUUUGCCGUGUUCUGCCACCUGUUAUGCAAUGGCAACGCACUUUCCAGAAGUUCUUGCCGGCUAUUUUCACUGCUGAAAUCCCACAGUUUGUGUUCAAGACUGCAUUUGGGUCCCUGCUGCUGUGUAAGUGCUCAUGGGAUAUUUGUUACAAUGGAGCAGAUGUCAGCUUCUCUCUGCAGCCUCCGCCGGAAUCCUCUUACAGCCUUCCACGCCGGACUUCUCCAGUUAGGAGACCAGUUGCAAGGGCUCUUUGCUUUGAUGAUCUCUCUGAUCCUGUCACCGAGUCCUUUGAGUUCUCUGCUGUCCCUGAGGUGUCCACCAAGCGUGGCCGGAAACCAAGAUCUGCUAAAAUCUUGGUAGAUACAGAGGUGCACCGUAGUGCAUGUCUCAGUGCGCUACAUGAUGGCUAUCACAGAUCCCCAAGCAGAGGCUCCCAGCAGAUCAAGACCCAAUGUUCUUUCAAGAGGCGGCGAACCAGCUCUUCACAGUCGGAGGGGAACCCGACAGUGCCUCCACCAACGCAUAUUACUGAUCUUCAGCGUAUCGGGGCACGUCUGCGUAUUGCUCCUGAGAAGAUCUCCAAGGAUAAGCUUGAGGCUGAUCCUUCUACCUCCUCCAGCAACAAGAGUUCUGAUGAUUAGAGAACCCUGACACCAUCAAAGACCAUGAUUUCUGUAGCAAAGAGCUCGACCGUCCUCUCUACUGUGUUCUCCACGAUACCAAGCCUCUUAGAUCUUGAGGACCUCCUGGAUGUUGUGCAGCAGGAAGAAUUGGCCUGGGCAGAUGGGGAAGAACUGCUUCCAGCACCUAGCAACAGUAGUCUUUCUUCAGACAUGUCCUUCUCUGAAGGAGAUAACACAAAUAUGCUUUUACCUCCUGUUGCAGUAGAGGUUUUGAUUCCUAGGGCUGCAAUACCUGAUAUUUUACCUCCUCCUGCUAUUGUGCCUGCCACUGGCCUGCAGAACAUCAUCCAGGCCUAUCAGUCAGAUGAUGAUGAGCCUCCUUUGUUCCAUGAGCAGAUCCAGGAUGCUGCUAUGGUUGAUGUUGACCUGCAUGAUCAAAUUGUUGCAGACCAACUGCAACAUGUUGCACCCUCUAUUCAAGGGACAGAUGCCAAUGCUGAUGUAUCUGUAGAUCAAGAUGUGGAUCCCCUUCCUCCUGCUUUACCUUUAGAUGCUGUGGCAACUGCUGAGCAAUUUCAAUCCUCCCUUGCUGGUGGAUCUUCCAGUGAAGUCUUGGUUUGCAGUCCUGAUCAUAUAAAUACCUCUAGAGGAAGCUUACAGCGAGUUGAGAACUUGGAGGAUCUUCAAUCAGGGCUCCAAGGUGAUAAGGACAAGGGCAAAGAAAAUAUUGGAGUGACUGCCAAUAUGCAGGAUGUGGAGUCCCAGGCCCUUCUGCAUCCUUUUGGCCAAGAUAACCUCAGGAAGAGAAGGAGUGGAAAAACUCCACUGGUUGAAACAAAGGUUGCUGAGAGGGAGCUGGAGGACAAGCUGGCUAAGAAGCCCAAGAGAAGACAAGAAGAUGUUUUGGACAAGAGAGGCGUGAACUGUGGAGUCGUCGAAUGGGUUGACCGCCCAUGGCCUAUCAUUAUGCAGAGGUGCCUACUCAAGCUCUGGGGGAUGUUAGAUGAGAGCAAUGAUAAUAGGCAAGCAAAGGAUGAAGAGAUAAGCAGGCUUAAAAUGGAUAUUGAACAAGUGAACCUUAAGCUCGAGAAUCUUGUUGCAGCUGUGGAAAGAACUAAUGUAACUACCAUGAAGAUCGACAGGCAGAAGAAGCAGAUGGGUAUCGUUGAUAAAGAUGUCAAGCUCAUUCAGAGGUCUCUCACAAGUGCCAUUCAUAAUCUUAAGGAUGACAAGGGUGAGAUUAAGCUGGACAGGGAUUUUCUGAAGGAGGGGGUGCAUAAGCUGAAGGAGAAUAGGAGGAAGAUGCAAAGCGUCAUCCGUGAUCUUUUGGGGCAAGGGUUUGCGGACACUGAUGACCUCCUGAUGAUCAAGGCAAUCCUCGAAGAAUGA
rnacentral:rRNA from 1 species